GGAGGGGUGCAAGCGUAUUCGGAAUCACUGGCGUAAAAAGCGCGUAGGCGGUUUCUAAAGUCAGAUGUGAAAGCCCGGGGCUCAAACCCCGGAAGUGCAUUUGAAACUUAGGGACUUGAGUAUGGGAGAGGGAAGUGGAAUUCCUGGUGUAGCGGUGAAAUGCGUAGAUAUCAGGAGGAACACCGGUGGCGAAGGCGACUUCCUGGACCAAUACUGACGCUGAGGCGCGAAGGGGUGGGGAGCAAACAGGAUUAGAUACCCUGGUAGUCCACGCAGUAAACGUUGAACACUAGGUGUAGCGGGUAUUGACCCCUGCUGUGCCGCAGCUAACGCAUUAAGUGUUCCGCCUGGGGAGUACGGCCGCAAGGCUA
rnacentral:rRNA from 1 species